rnacentral:rRNA from 1 species
GUUGAACGCUGGCGGCGGGCCUAACACAUGCAAGUCGAGCGGAUGAAGGGGGCUUGCUCCUGGAUGCAGCGGCGGGCGGGUGAGUAAGGCCUAGGAAUCUGCCCUGUCGUGGGGGAUGACGUCCGGAAACGGGCGCUAAUCCCGCAUACGUCCUGAGGGUGAACGUGGUGGAUCUUCGGACCACGAGCGAUCUGCUGUGCCUAGGUGGGAUUAGCUAGUUGGUGGGGUAAGGGCCUACCAAGGCGACGAUCCGUAACUGGUCUGAGAGGCUGAUCAGCCACACUGGAACUGAGACACGGUCCAGACUCCUACGGGAGGCAGCAGUGGGGAAUCUUGGGCAAUGGGCGAAAGCCUGACCCAGCCACGCCGCGUGUGUGAAGAAGGUCUUCGGAUCGUAAAGCACUGUUAGUUGGGAGGAAGAGCAGUAAGAUAAUACCUUGCUGUCUUGACGGUACCAAAAGAAUAAGCACCGGCUAACUUCGUG